CAGCAGCCAGCCGUACAAAUACGGGCAGCUCACAGACCUUCAGCGCCAGAUGAUUGUGAUUCCUCACCGUGCGUCUCAUCUCGGCUCCAGCUCCAGUGCUUCUCCCCACACGCCUGCCUCUUCUUCUCCCUCGAGCACACAUCAUGGGAACCCACAGCCACGAGCACCUUCACCCGACGGAUCCCCACUCAAGCACCUUCACUGGGAAGAACUUCACGGGAAAAGGAUUCGCACGAGCACCGCUCCUGGAGCACCGCACCCCCACCUACCACCUGGGAUCUCCACCACGACACCCCCACUGGAUUCCUCCACCUGGACACCCUCAACUUCCCCCUCCCUUGUUAAAUAAAUUUUUUCCUUUAACCUUUU